UGAAAACAGAAUAUUCGCUAA
rnacentral:piRNA from 1 species